GGGAAGGUAGGAGGAGAGCCUCCCUCUGCCUUCUGUCCUCGUUCCUCCUCAGGGGGUGCUAUGGCCCUAGAACACUGGUUGAAGGCCUCUGUUCCCUUCUCUCCUUCAUACCUUUGUUUGUCCACUUGUCUGUCCAUCCAUCCAUCUUGCAAACACUCCAGGUUGGGACUUCAGAGAGGACCCAGAUGUGACCCCAACCUACAAGGGAGGCAGAGGCCAGAUUCUUCGGUCCAGACACCUGAGGCACACCCAUGGCCUCCCGGGGACUUUGGUACAGCUGCCUCUCCCCACCACGUUUCUCCUCGGUCACUCCCUAGGCAACUGUCCAAGCUGCAAGGGCCCUUGGAGAUCAUCUAGACUGCGACCAGAUGAAGACACGAAGGCCCAGAGAGGACUGUGGCUUGCCCGAGAUCCCACAGCACAGCUCUGUUUCUGAGUUGACAAUGUACCAAUUAUGUGGGUCUGCUUGGGAGGCGGCUUUUGGCUCUCCAGCCCUGCUGACAGCUGUGUUCCCAGUGGCAGCGGGGAAUGCUAGUGGGAGGCCUGUCUGGCCUUUGAACCCGGACUCCCCAGGGCAGAACCAGGUGGCUCUGGUGGGGCCCCGGGCUGGGAGGUGGGGAGCUUCAGAGGGGCAGCCCAGAUACCGGUGGGGGUGCGGACGACUGAAAGAAAAGGGAGCAGCAUUGAUUCUAGAGGCGAACUGCUAAGCCUUGAGCUCCUGUCCCAACUCUGCCACUCACUCACUUGCUGGGUAACGUCGGGUGCAUCAUUUGACCUCUCUAAACCUUUGUUUUCUUAUCUGUAAAAUGGUGCUACCUUCAUAGAACAAAAAUGUUGUGUCCACGGUAACAGCUGCACAGAGCUCAGGAAUGUUUGGACCGAAGGGCUAAGUUUCUCAGAGCGGAAGGGACCAGCCUGAAGCCACAGAAUGAGCCCACAUCUCCCUCCUAUGAGCUCUCUACGCCGAAUUGGAUACAAGGUUUUGGAGGUGAAGGGAGCGUCCAGUCCAGUCCAGACUGUUUACUGAAGGCGAAAACAGGACCAGAGAAGGGGAGCAAGUUGCCCAAGGUCACCCAGUGAGUCUGGGGCCAAUGUGGGCCUAGAGCCCAGGCUGGGCACAAGGUCCCCCUGCCCAGCUGCACCGCUCACUCAUCCAGCCCCCUUGGUUUUGUCUCCCCCAGUGAGUGGGCGCAGAACAGGCCCCGCUUCCUUCCUGCCGCCCUGCCCGCCGUCUGCCACGUUGGCAGCCGCCCGCAGCCUUCUCGCCCCUGCUGCUGCUUGCUGCUGCUGCUGAUGCGGCAUCAGCCGAGACCAACCCGCCGAGAGUUUGCCCAGAACAGCCAGGGCUGCUGGAGCCCGGGCUGGGUUGGCUGACUCUGCCAGACGGGAGGGAGCGAGCCAGCCGGCAGAGGGAGGGAACAAGGGCUGAGCCAGCCCCCAGCCUUCCCAGUCCUUCUCCACCCUCACCAGCCAAGGGAGAGAAGCAGGAGCCUGGGGUUGGGAGCCAGAGGGCUGCAGUGUCUGUGUGUGUGAGGCUCAGAUAGCUGGGUCUUUUCUGGGAGCGUGCACACUUAGGUGUGCAGGGAAGAGCAUGUUGGGGGCGACCUGUGAGUCCGUGUUUGCCUUGGUGUGCACGGGUGACGCUGUGUGUGUGUUUGUGCUAGUUUGUGCACACCCAGGCGGUCACUCUGCGUCUGCGUAAGCACCAGGAAAAGCUGCAUGUGCCGCGAGUUUGAACACAUGCCUGCGUUCGGAGAGAGGCUGUGUCUAGCGGUGUGUGCACACGGAAGCCAACUGUUAGUGACAAGGAAUCUGUGUGCGCACCGAAGGGUCAGCACGCGGGCCUGAGUUCACGCAUGCCAUGUCUGGGUGUGUUUGGGGCCCCUGUGAAUUUGUUGUUGUGUAUAAGAGGAUAAUGAUGUAAUUGCGAGUUUAAGCUCAUCCGUGUGUGCCCAAGGGACGGUGGUUGUGUGUGCACAGAGGAGUGCUACAAUCCACGAUCGUGGACGUGGGUCCACGCCCAGGAGGACAUUGUGUAACUGUGUGGGCUACUCCAAAUGUCCAUGGUGUGGGCACACCGUGUCUCUGUGCCCAGGAGACUUUGUAAGUGUGGUUAUCUACAGCGACGCAGGGGAUCACUGUGUGGGACUGAUACGCUUGGCCGUGUGUCCAAGGUCACAGGCAGCACAGGCAUUGUGUUGCCGUGUUGCAUCUGCACAGGGUGAUGGUGGCGGUGGCGGUGGCGGGGAGACAAUAUGCUGUGGAUUUGCACUUGUUCCUCCGCACGACAAGGCCCUGCGUGUGAUUAUGUUUGUGCGUGUCUGUGAGCACCGUGUGCUGCAAACUGUGCGUGCUUCUGAGUCUGUGGCAAUUCGUGGGGCUGAAAACGAGCUUCCCUCGCCUCCCCCACUGGUUCCAUCCAUGCCACCUACUCCAAAGAGCCUCCACCGGGCUCCAGAGCGACCUUGUCCAAGCCCUCUCCCUGUCCUCUCCCCUCCACACACAGCGUCUGCUCCAAAAUGACCUAAGAUGUGUGGCUUCUGCCUGCCCCGCCCCCACCUCCCAGGCCUUUGCACGUGCUGUUUA